GAUGAACGCUGGCGGCGUGCCUAAUACAUGCAAGUCGAGCGAACAGACGAGGAGCUUGCUCCUCUGACGUUAGCGGCGGACGGGUGAGUAACACGUGGAUAACCUACCUAUAAGACUGGGAUAACUUCGGGAAACCGGAGAUAAUACCGGAUAAUAUAUUGAACCGCAUGGUUCAAUAGUGAAAGACGGUUUUGCUGUCACUUAUAGAUGGAUCCGCGCCGCAUUAGCUAGUUGGUAAGGUAACGGCUUACCAAGGCAACGAUGCGUAGCCGACCUGAGAGGGUGAUCGGCCACACUGGAACUGAGACACGGUCCAGACUCCUACGGGAGGCAGCAGUAGGGAAUCUUCCGCAAUGGGCGAAAGCUUGACGGAGCAACGCCGCGUGAGUGAUGAAGGUCUUCGGAUCGUAAAACUCUGUUAUUAGGGAAGAACAAAUGUGUAAGUAACUAUGCACGUCUUGACGGUACCUAAUCAGAAAGCCACGGCUAACUACGUG
rnacentral:rRNA from 1 species